AGGUGGAGGGGAAAAAAAAAAUGGGUGGAAUCACUUGCGUCACAAUACCGAAGAAGGGGCGCGCGAAUGGAACGCGUUUAAAGGAGUAACUGUAAUAUGGAAGGGUGGGCGAUGUCGACGUCGCGCGUGCGCAGAGCAAGGCCGGGUUUCAGACUGAUCUAUGAUGUGCUCUGGAAUCUUCUCAGGAUCAAUGUCAGACUUUUUGGUUCCCUGGAUUUUUCCUUUUUGGAAGAAACAGCUAUAUGUCUGCAAAAUCUAUGCUUUGACUUUGGGCCCCUUUUGAAGCACAAGCUGAGGUGGGCUUGGCCUGCGCGUGAUGCAUCCAGCCUGCAGGCCGCCAGUUUGACACUCCUGGUUUAAGUGAAACUCUGGAAAGCAAACAAAAUAAAAAGAACAGAAUGGAAAAUUCACUUUAUUCCUGCCACAGUUCUGCAAUUGGUGAGUGUUUUCCCAGCCUGCCCAGCAAAAUAGGAGGGAAAGGAAAGACAGAAGAAUCAACCAAUCAUUUUGCUUGUUACUGGCUGCCCAUCCAAAAUCAGGACAGCCCCAUACAACAAUCCAUGAAAAGAAGAGUUGGAAGAGAGAACUCAGUGGACAAAACAUUUAAGCAUGUUUGUAUGAAAUACAAAGAUUCUGCUUCUUAAAUCAAUGUUUACAUUUUCUCCUUUUCAAGCAAAGAAAAUGGAGAAAAAGCCCUAAAGCUCCAGAUCUUGACUUUUAACAUGUGGCCAGCAAAAUGUAGAAAUGUGGCAUACAAAUAAAUAAAUACCUUUUUCUUUAU